rnacentral:lncRNA from 1 species
AAUUUUUGUACACUAUUUUAAAUGGAUUUUCAAUGAAAGACAACACAAUCUUUGAUUGUUACCACCAAAGUUUAAACAAAUUUACCUAUGCAAAUGACAUUUCAAGUGCCGGAGUUGUUACAAUCAUUUUUCAGAGUACCACUAAGCCAAAUUCUCCAAUAGUUCAACCACUCAGCGAACUGACUUAACUCUCAGCCAUGGACCAUCAUUGCGACUGUUUUAUGCCAUUGGAAUAUGGACUGAACUCAGCUAAUGCAACAAGUUGGCAUCAUAAGUUGCCUUACUGGUUGCAAAAAAAUAAAAAUAAAUAAUAACUAAAUAAAUUAAAAAUCUCAAAACUUUUGGGUGGUCAUUGACCACCCUUGCCCAAAUGUGGCUCCGCUGGCCGACACUGUACAAAAAUUUCCUCUUCAAAAAAAAAAAAAAUGCAAAAAAUGAAGAAAACACUAGCCUGAACAAAUUAGUGACGAUCUUCGUCGACAGUGAAGUGAUUGAUGGCGAUCGUCGAUGGCUGGGCAUUGGACGAUUCAAAUGCCAAAGGGGAGUCUCGCCUUUCGCUAGUUCGUACGACACAUGGGAGUGCUUUUAAUCUUUGUCAGUGGUGAAAGAAGGAAAAGUGCGAGAGAGGGGACGAUUCUAGUGAGAGGAUAAUGUGUAAGAGAAUGAAAUGUGUUUCAACAUUGGUUUCUUC